rnacentral:rRNA from 1 species
UACGAAGGGGGCUAGCGUUGUUCGGAAUCACUGGGCGUAAAGGGCGCGUAGGCGGCCUGCUAAGUCGAACGUGAAAUCCCUGGGCUCAACCCAGGAACUGCGUCCGAUACUGGUUGGCUUGAAUCCGGGAGAGGGAUGCGGAAUUCCAGGUGUAGCGGUGAAAUGCGUAGAUAUCUGGAGGAACACCGGUGGCGAAGGCGGCAUCCUGGACCGGCAUUGACGCUGAGGCGCGAAAGCCAGGGGAGCAAACGGG